AUUUAGUGAGCAUGUGUGUCAGUGAGCUUCUAUUUAGUGAGCAUGUAUGUCAGUGAGCUUGUCUUUAGUGAGCUUGUGUGUGUGUGUCUAAACGUCUUUGUAGUAAGCCUUCUGUUUAUACAAGUGAGUUUGUCUUUUAUAUAUAUAUUUAUAUAGAGAGAGAGAGAGAGACAUGUUUAACAUUUAUAUUAUAAUAUUAUACAAUGCCCUGAUGUGAAAUUAUAGGUAUGUAAUAUUGUGGUGAAAAUAAGACAAUAUUUUAUUAUUCCUCUUUUUUGCUAUAUUCCGAAUAUAAAUACGAUGAAUUAAGGGCAUUUUGCCCUAUCUCUAGUAGACAUUUUAUGUGCCGAUCAUGUGACCGACACGGAACUGUGUUAUCCAUGUCACAGGAAGUGACGCGCCGGUACGGAAGUGACGCGCCGGAAUGAAAGUAAGGGGCGGGACCAGAGGACCUGACGCCCCAGAUGAUGCAUUUCCGGAUGAAUAAAGAAUGAGGCGGACAUGUUGGGGAGGCUUGGUGGGG